CGUCGGAGGGGCCGUGGGCGCGCGCCGUUGUGCCGGCGGAGCCGCUCGCGCCAUGGCCGACAUGGAGGAUCUCUUCGGCAGCGACGCCGACUCCGAGGCCGAGCAGAAAGAUUCCGAUUCUGGGUCUGAAUCUGAUUCUGAUCAGGAGAAUGCUGGCUCUGGCAGUAAUGCCUCUGGAAGUGACAGUGACCAAGAUGAUGACAGAGAGGCAAUAAAACCUAGCAAUAAAGAGUUAUUUGGAGAUGACAGUGAGGACGAAGUGGCAUCCCAUCAUACAGGGAGUGACAACCACUCUGAAAGAUCCUAUAAUCGCUCAGAAGCUUCGGGACAUUCUGAGCAUGAAGAUAAUGACCAGUCAGAUGUGGACCAACACAGUGCUUCAGAAGCUGCACAUGAUGAUGAGGAGGAUGAUCAUGGACAUGGCUCAGAUGAAGGCAGUCACCAUUCAGAGGGAGAUGGCUCUGAAAAAGCACAUUCAGAAGAUGAGAAGUGGGGCAAGGAAGACAAAAGCGAUCAGUCAGAUGAGGAGGAGAGGCAGCAGAACUCAGAUGAGGAGGAGAGGCAGCAGAACUCUGAUGAUGAGGAGAAAGUGCAGAACUCUGAUGAAGAUGAAAGGCCGCAGAUGUCAGAUGAUGAGGAAAGGCUCCAGAACUCAGAUGAGGAAAAAAUACAGAACUCUGAUGAUGAGGAGAGGCCACAGGCCUCUGAUGAGGAGAAGAUGCAGAACUCGGAUGAUGAUGAGCGGGCCCAGCAUUCUGACGAGGAGAAGAUGCAGAACUCUGAUGAUGACGAGAGGGCCCAGCACUCUGAUGAGGAGGACCAAGAGCAUAAAUCUGCAGAGUCUGCAAGGGGCAGUGACAGUGAAGAUGAAGUUCUGCGAAUGAAGCGAAAGAAGCCAAUUGCCUCAGAUUCAGAAGUGGACAGUGAUACAGAAGGACAGAAAGAGCAUGCAGAUGUCAUGGAUCUGUUUGGAGGGGCAGAUGACAUUUCCUCAGGGAGUGACGGAGAAGACAAGCCACCAACUCCAGGACAGCCCAUUGAUGAGAAUGGCUUGAGUCAAGAACAGCAGGAAGAAGAGCCUAUUCCAGAAACAAGAAUAGAGGUAGAAAUACCAAAAGUGAACACAGACCUGGGUAAUGAUUUGUAUUUUGUGAAACUGCCCAACUUCCUCAGUGUGGAGCCCAGACCUUUUGAUCCCCAGUAUUAUGAAGAUGAAUUUGAAGAUGAGGAGAUGCUUGAUGAAGAGGGUAGAACUAGGUUAAAACUCAAGGUAGAAAACACAAUACGGUGGCGGAUGCGACGAGAUGAGGAAGGGAAUGAGAUCAGAGAAAGUAAUGCACGGAUAGUCAAAUGGUCAGAUGGAAGCAUGUCUCUCCACUUGGGCAAUGAGGUCUUUGACGUGUACAAGGCACCACUACAGGGAGAUCACAACCAUUUGUUUAUCAGACAAGGGACGGGUCUACAAGGACAGGCUGUUUUCAAGACAAAAUUAACCUUCAGGCCACACUCUACAGACAGCGCUACUCACAGGAAGAUGACUCUAUCCCUGGCAGAUAGAUGUUCAAAGACUCAGAAGAUUCGUAUUUUGCCAAUGGCAGGUCGUGAUCCAGAGUCUCAGCGCACAGAAAUGAUUAAGAAAGAAGAGGAGAGAUUAAGAGCUUCUAUUCGCAGAGAAUCUCAGCAGCGAAGGAUGCGGGAGAAGCAGCAUCAGCGUGGGCUGAGUGCAAAUUACUUAGAACCUGAUCGCUAUGAUGAAGAGGAUGAGGGAGAUGAUGCAAUCAGUUUAGCAGCUAUUAAAAACAGAUACAAAGGUGGCAUCAGAGAAGAACGUGCUAGAAUCUACUCUUCUGACAGUGAUGAAGGCUCAGAUGAAGAUAAAACGCAAAGACUACUCAAGGCAAAGAAACUUAAUAGUGAUGAGGAAGGUGAACCUUCUGGAAAGAGAAAAGCAGAGGACGAUGACAAAGCAAGUAAGAAGCAUAAGAAAUAUGUGAUCAGUGAUGAAGAGGAAGAAGAUGACGAUUAAUAUUAAGGAAGCACAAAACCUGAUUUUUUAAAAAUAUAUAUAUUUAUAUAUAUAUUGUACAGUUCUCUUACAGCAAAGAUGUGGAUAGCUGAAAAUAGUCUUGUUCAAACAGACCUCCCACAGAAGCCUGUAUGAGUCUGGCAGACGUUAGAGACUGAAUAAGUGCUUCAUGAUUUGUUUUUUUACUUAAUAGUUCAUAUCAGCAUUUGAAAAAAACCAAAACCAAACCCAACACACUACCCCAUCUUCACUGAAGAGCUUUCAGCUUUGUGCUUACUGACUGCAUUUAUCUGAUCAUGUACAAGAAGAGUGAUUUUCAUGUGAUUUCCUUCUAACAUCAAGCCAUAAAGCAGCCUGGAGCCUGAUCCCAGAAGACCUUGCCCAGCACUGUCAGCUGGCUGCAGCAAAGAGUGAUUUCUUGUGAAUAAUUAAAUCCCUGGGGAGCAUCAAUAGCUGGGUUGGUAAUAUAGCAUCUAGAUAAGAAGGAGGAUGUCAUGUGAGAGAAUUACUUUGAAAAAUCUACUCUUUAAAGCACUUUCUGAGGGCAGAUGCCUAUCAAAUAUUCCCCUUGCCAGUUAAAUUUAGGGCUGAAAUUGCUGCUGCUGUAGAACUUCAGGAGGUCCAGCCCUUCAUGAGCACAUCAGCUUGUUGCUCCAGUUGUCUUCUGGAUCGGUGCAGGUGAAUGCUUUGAUCAGACAUGUCCUAAACUACCCCAGACCUGGUAUGCUCUGCCUGCUCCUGCCUGCUUUUUACUAUGGGUAACUAGGGCAAGAGCUGGAGUCAAGGCUUUGGCCAGGUGCUGGCUCUUCCCAUUCCUGCUCAAGGCUAUCCCUGUCAAAGCCCAGAGACACAGCCUGCAACAGGCUUCCCUCAACGUGUGCUUGUACUUGCCCCUCACAUCAGAAGUGGAAACUUACUGGAUGCAUCUUGAUCCUUCAGUUAGAGCAGGAAUGUGCAGCCCCCCUUUACCCAUCAAACUGUUGUGUCUCAGAAGAGUUAAACACUCUCAGCUUCUGCCACAGCUAAUGGGAGCUGCAGUAAGAGCUCAGCAAUCAUGGAAAUCAAGCCUUCAAUUGCACUCUUGGGAACUAAAGGAGAUGGCUUAUCCUGCUGUGAACCUUUAAAAGCCUGGUAGUGCACU